UUUUGUCAGAUUCUUUGGCUUCUUAUAAUUUUUAAGUCAAUGAGUAAUUGGAAUAAUCAAUUCUUUGAAAUUGCCAUUUUCAUAAUCUGGGUUCUGUUCAAAUGGAUCCCUUUUUUCCAUAUGGUUGGGUAAGUUAGAUCCAGAGCUUAUAUGGGAUAAUUGGAAGCAUAUUGCUUGAAAUAAGUGUGCAGGAUUUCUAAAUUAUCUGUAUCCUUUGAAAUUUUGUUUGAUUAUAUUGAGAUCACUUUAAAUCUUGGAAUCUUGGAAUCUUGGAUAUUUCUUGAAGUAUCCCAUAUUCUUUGAACUUGGCAGUGCUUCUUGAGUUGUUAAACUUGAAACAUGGUUUGCUGACUCUCGUGAGUCCCAAGUUUGACUUGGUGUGAGUGCUUGCAAUCCAGACUAAGACCAAGCUUUUAAGCUUCUGCUUUGAACUGGUCUAAAGAUUACAGAGCCUCGGUUAGUUCUCGCUCAGCUCCGUUCCUUACAGAAUAUUCUCUUUCAUCCAUUCAUUCUGAUACAUAAAAAUAUGGCUCACAAAAAUAAGAAAAGAUUCCCUCUAACUGAUCACCAUGUGAUAAUAAUUCUGGAUAUAAGCAUUGCAAGGUGUAUUCUCAAGAUAAGCAUGACCAAAGUUGUGUUGAGGAAUUAAAGAUCUUGUAUACAUAUUACACCAAUCUUGAUUCUUAAAUGACACAGGAUGCUACAUUUUUUGGAAAUUGUCCUUUUACACUGGUAGAAUCUUCCUGGAUCGUGAAUAUGUGGUUAUAUGUCGAGUAUUGUGUUUUGUUCCUGCGAUUCCCCUUUAGCCUUAAUUUAGUGACCUCUUCAAAAAAAUUGGGUUGAUUUAGCUCCUUCGCAAGUGAAAUAUGGGUGAUGUCUCUUCGAGCUUCGGCGAUCUGAAGUACAUAGGAAGUGGUGACCCUCUUCAGCAGUAUUGGGGUGGGGAUCAGAUUCUAAUGAUCCUACGCACUACAGCACUGUCCUGCGGUACGGCAUAGAGGUCAGGCUUAGUGACUAGUGUCAAAUUAGCUUCUUUUCAAGUGAAAUAUUG
rnacentral:lncRNA from 1 species